AACGAACGCUGGGGGCAGGCCUAACACAUGCAAGUCGAGCGCCCCGCAAGGGGAGCGGCGGACGGGUGAGUAACGCGUGGGAACGUGCCCUUUGCUACGGAAUAGCCCCGGGAAACUGGGAGUAAUACCGUAUAAGCCCUACGGGGGAAAGAUUUAUCGGCAAAGGAUCGGCCCGCGUUGGAUUAGGUAGUUGGUGGGGUAAUGGCCUACCAAGCCGACGAUCCAUAGCUGGUUUGAGAAGAUGAUCAGCCACACUGGGACUGAGACACGGCCCCGACUCCUACGGGAGGCAGCAGUGGGGAAUUUUAGACAAUGGGCGCAAGCCUGAUCUAGCCAUGCCGCGUGAGCGAUGAAGGCCUUAGGGUUGUAAAGCUCUUUCGUGGGGGAAGAUAAUGACUGUACCCCAAGAAGAAGCCCCGGCUAACUCCGUGCCAGCCGCCGCCGUAAGAC
rnacentral:rRNA from 1 species